UACUGAUGCAGCACUAUUCUUUUAGCAGAUUAGCAGAAUUCUCAUCUUGACAUGGAUGGACCUCAUUGUAGGUACUUCGGUUUGUCAUCGGCUGAGAUAUUACUGCCGUCCUAGGAAAGAAAGUACAAUCCUACAGUGGAUUAGAGAGGUUUCAGCAGUAAGCAAAGCCGUGUUGCCGAGAUCACAGCCUCAAAGAUAAGGUGCUGGAGUUGUUGUUUCUCUUGCUAUCCUCUAGAUUUGUGUGCCUAGAACUAGAAGAUAGGAGUAAGAUCAAUGAAUGAACUUGAUCAGUCCAAUUCACCAGGUCUAUUUGAUCAUCUUUUGGUAAAUGAAGACCAAACAGGUAAUUGAUGCAGAUCAUUGCUACCUUGCCUAACCUUUUUUACAUUGCUAAUAUAAUUAUUAUUAUUGUGUGAGCUCAACUUCCAUUAUCUAUAUCUGAUAUAUUAUGAGCUAUAGAAAAGCAAAAUCUUGCCUGUACUUCCACCAUCUGGAACCAUGCAUAUCUCAUGUUCAAAUACUGCAAAUUAGUUGUUUAGUAGUAGUUAAAAAAGUUAAUGUCUUUUUUAUUCCGGGCUCCUAAGGGGAUUUGAUUUAAUUUAAAGAGAUCUUUGGAUCUUAUCAUUUUUCUAGAUGCAUGUGGGAUAGGCUCAUGAUUUGUACUGAUGCAGUGAUGACGCCGAUUUCUGUAGAAAGUUGGCAAAGGGGGAAUCAGUCAUGGUGUUGCCUGGGACUGCCUUAGGCGUUCAAAAUUGGCUGCACAUAACCUUUGCUUCGGAUCCAGCAAAGCUGAAGCAAGGAAAGGUUGAGAUGCUGGACAUAACCCUGAUGCAUAGGAAAGCCUGGUGCUCUUGGAUGUGUUGUAAUAUUCAUUAUUCAACAGACAUCUGAUGGCUAGGCCUAUGAUAGCUUCGUGAUCGGAUAUGUUGUAGUAUUUAUGAUUCAAAUGUCGGAUAGAUAUCUAUAUUGCCAUGCAUAUAGUUUAACUAAUACUUUUUAUUGUCUUAUAAUUACUGAUACCUG